rnacentral:rRNA from 1 species
GCUCACCAAACCUACGAUGGAUAGGGGUUCUGAGAGGAAGGUCCCCCACACUGGUACUGAGACACGGUCCAGACUCCUACGGGAGGCAGCAGUGAGGAAUAUUGGUCAAUGGGCGCGAGCCUGAACCAGCCACGUCGCGUGAAGGAUGACGGCCUUAUGGGUUGUAAACUUCUUUUACAGGGGAAUAAAGUGAGUCACGUGUGAUUUUUUGCAUGUACCCUGUGAAUAAGCAUCGGCUAACUCCGUGCCAGCAGCCGCGGUAAUACGGAGGAUGCGAGCGUUAUCCGGAUUUAUUGGGUUUAAAGGGUGCGUAGGCGGGAUAUUAAGUCAGCGGUGAAAGUUUUCGGCUCAACCUUAAAAUUGCCGUUGAAACUGUGGUUCUUGAGUGCAGAAGAGGUAGGCGGAAUUCGUUGUGUAGCGGUGAAAUGCGUAGAUAUAACGAAGAACACCAAUUGCGUAGGCAGCUUACCAUACUGCAACUGACGCUGAGGCACGAAAGUGUGGGUAUCAAACAGGAUUAGAUACCCUGGUAGUCCACACAGUAAACGAUGAAUACUAGCUGUUUGCGAUACACUGCAAGUGGCCGAGCGAAAGC